rnacentral:rRNA from 1 species
UACGUAGGGUGCGAGCGUUGUCCGGAAUUAUUGGGCGUAAAGAGCUCGUAGGCGGUUUGUCGCGUCUGCUGUGAAAUCCCGAGGCUCAACCUCGGGCCUGCAGUGGGUACGGGCUGACUAGAGUUCGGUAGGGGAGAUUGGAAUUCCUGGUGUAGCGGUGGAAUGCGCAGAUAUCAGGAGGAACACCGAUGGCGAAGGCAGAUCUCUGGGCCGUAACUGACGCUGAGGAGCGAAAGCAUGGGGGAGCGAACAGG